GUUUAGCCCUGAUUGAAACGGAAUCCUUUUUUUAACUUAAUUAAUAAGUGUCAUUACGAAUGAAGUAAUCUGUAUUUGGAUAAAAAGAUUGCUUCGUAAACUCGCAAUGACAUUUAAGAAUAGAAAAAAAAGAUAUAGUGAAAAGCAGGAAACCUG
rnacentral:sRNA from 1 species